UGACCCGGAGAUUUCCGAAUGGGGAAACCCGGCAGAGGUAAUACUUUGUCAUCGUUCAAUGAAUACAUAGUUGAACGAAGCGAACGGGGGGAAGUGAAACAUCUCAGUACCCCCAGGAAUAGAAAUCAAUUGAGAUUCCGUUAGUAGCGGCGAGCGAACGCGGAAUAGCCCAAACCAGUCAAUUUAUUGGCUGGGGUUGUAGGACCCCGAUGUGGGAUUGGUGAUAAAUAGCGGAAAGGCUUGGAAAGGCCUGCCAUAGACGGUGAUAGUCCGGUACGCGAAAUUUUGAUCCACCCUAGGGAGUUCCUGAGUACCACGAGACACGUGAAACCUUGUGGGAAUCUGGGAGGACCAUCUUCCAAGGCUAAAUACUACCUGGUGACCGAUAGUGAACUAGUACCGUGAGGGAAAGGUGAAAAGAACCCCGGGAGGGGAGUGAAAUAGAAACUGAAACCGUCAGCUUACAAGCAGUUGGAGCAUUAAUUUAUUAGUGUGACAGCGUGCCUUUUGCAUAAUGAGUCAACGACUUACCCUGUGUGGCAAGGUUAAGCCGCUAGGUGUAGCCGCAGCGAAAGCGAGUCUUAAACGGGCGUAGAGUCACAUGGGGUAGACCCGAAGCCGGGUGAUCUAUCCAUGUCCAGGGUGAAGGUCGAGUAACAUCGACUGGAGGCCCGAACCGAUAUAGGUUGAAAACUGUUCGGAUGAGGUGUGGAUAGGAGUGAAAGGCUAAUCAAACUCGGUGAUAGCUGGUUUUCUCCGAAAUAUAUUUAGGUAUAGCCUUGCGUGAUGACUGUUGGAGGUAGAGCACUGACAGGACUAGGGGUCCCACCGGAUUACCAACUCCUUUCAAACUCCGAAUGCCAACAAGUUCUAGCGUGGGAGUCAGACUGCGGGAGAUAAGUUCCGUAGUCGAAAGGGAAAGAACCCAGACCGCCGAUUAAGGUCCCUAAAUUUGCACUAAGUGGGAAAGGAGGUGGAAUUGCACAUACAACCAGGAGGUUGGCUUAGAAGCAGCAACCCUUUAAAGAAAGCGUAAUAGCUCACUGGUCUAGUGAAUCCGCGCCGAAAAUGUAACGGGGCUUAAGUGCAAUACCGAAAUCGCGGAAUGAAAUUUAUUUCAUUGGUAGGAGAACAUUGUGUAGGCCUGAGAAGGUGUAUGGUAACGUAUGCUGGAGGUAUCACAAGAGCUUAUGUUGACACGAGUAGCGAUAAAGGGAGUGAGAAACUCCCUCGCCGUAAGUCCGAGGUUUCCUUGAGUCAAGCUGAUCUGCUCAGGGUUAGUCGGCCCCUAAGGCGAGGCUGAAAAGCGUAGUCGAUGGGAAACAGGUUAAUAUUCCUGUACCGCCG
rnacentral:rRNA from 1 species